rnacentral:lncRNA from 13 species
ACGCUGACCUGCUUCGACGGUGGAGAAAUGAGAACCAGCUGAGAGGCUUCACUCCCUCUUCAAUGCUGUUUGUUGGAGAACAAGUUUAGGUUUUUAUUGAUAUCCACAUGACAUUCAAAGACACUGAAAUACAUGGAUAUUACAAUACACACACAAUGGCACAUUCAAGUUGAAAUCGCAAGUAAAAUGAAUUAGCAUAUUUUGGGUAUGGGUGACUAUUUAUAUUUCUCAGUCCUGACCGGGUACUGAUACAAUUACAAUGUUGUCACAAUGAAUCACCCAGUCCGAUGCAUUGACCACAAUAUGUUAGUUGACGUUAAUAUGAAUAACUAGUGAGGAGGAAAGGGAAAGAGGGAGAGGGACCCUCUUGAGUGAGUCGGAGGUCAGGGGUACCGCCGUCCCGUCCAGGCCUCAGCGUUAUCAGCUCUCAGGUUCAGACACACGGGUCUCCCUGGCCUGAGGCUGCAGUCCCUUAGGAAUACCACACUAAUGAGUGGCUAUAGAGGACAGAUGGAGAGGGACAUCCGGGGCAAAAACAACCUGCCGCAAUCACUUAAUGAUCCCUGAAAGAGGCAUGCCACUGGGUCUGGGUCCUCUGUCUGUGUGUGUCUCUGGCUGACUUGAUUUGCAUACCACUGAAUUUUAGGCCAAUUUUCAUGCUCUCUCCCCAUUCCGCUAGCUAACCUAUUGUCUUUGAUGUGACCAUUACAGCCAAGGCUCAUUCACUAGUUCCUGUGUGUUCUGAUACCAGACAGAAAACUAAACUCACUGGGAAUCCAGUUGAUCUGUGUCAGUCCUGGUGUCAGAGGAGAAUGCAGGAGUCCAUCUUCACUGUUGUAUCUAUGAAGAGUAGGAAGCAGGAAGGCAUGUGUGGCUGCAGCAGUGCGUAUUACUAUUGGCUUUCAUUACGUUUCUGGAGAGAUGCCCUUAGCAUCUGGUAUGUCAUUUCAGGCCGCUGUGCCCUUCAGAACUCUCGAUCCAUCUCUGCGGAGAUGAAACGGUGUAUUAUUACAACACGGAUGUAAUAUCAGCCCUCAUGUUUCCAACAAGCCUAGAAUAAUGCCAGAGAACACGCUGUGAAUCACACACCCAUGGAAACAGGGGGCCGCCGUGUUCCAAAUUUUGGGGGCCGACCACCUCAAAA